rnacentral:lncRNA from 1 species
AAAAGAGCAGUUGAAGAUGAGGACCUGCCUUGAGUCUGACAAAGAGAAUAACUCCUCUUAACUCCAGACAUGAAAUGAGAGAAUAACUUUAUCUUAACUCCUGACACCAAAGUAAACAAGAAGAAAGUUAUCCUCCUGGGGUCUAAGUCUUGGGAAACAAGUUUUGUCCAGACUCGCAGGCCCCUCAUCCUCAGGAAGACAUUUGACACCAAGGAGAAGAUGCCCGCAGCAGGGGACAGCCACUGGAGUCCACGCUUCACACUGGUCCCUUUGUCACCCUGGGGCUCAUGCCAGUUGCCACACUGUGUCUCAGAGUACAAAAAUUCAACAUUAAUGAACCUACAAUCACAGCUUGACCAGAAGUCUCUCUAG